AUUCAAAAUAUAUGUAGACAAAGGCAAUCAUUAGUUCCCAACGUAGGGUUAAUGAAAUCCAAUAUAUAAAUUCGUUAAUAAAAGAAUUGAAAAAAAAAAUUGUGUCAUUUAAGUUAUAUAAGAAUUCCAUAGUCCAAGAGUUAAGAAUAACAACUUCCUUCAUUACUAAAAAUAGAAUAAUUGUUUAGAAUAAUGAAACAAAUUAUAUUUGUCAAGAAAUAAUAAAUUGUAUGAAUACGAUCUUCAUUGUAUAUCUUGAUUAAUUGGAUCGUUUCUUUCUGGAUACCUAUACCAAACUUUUGUAAAUUUGUUUCUGAUCGUCCAGGAAGAGAAUAUCCUCUAAUUCUACGAACAUUUAUAGAAUAUUCUUUUCUUGAGUAUCAUUCAAAUUAGU
rnacentral:lncRNA from 1 species